rnacentral:tRNA from 1 species
GCCUUAAUAGCUCAUAUUCAGAGCACGGCACUGAAGAUGCUGGGGAAAUAUUUUAUGUUUUGAGGUA